rnacentral:rRNA from 1 species
UACGUAGGGGGCAAGCGUUGUCCGGAUUUAUUGGGCGUAAAGAGCGUGUAGGCGGCCAGGUAGGUCUGCUGUGAAAGUCCAGGGCUCAACCCUGGAAGGCCGGUGGAAACUGUCGGGCUAGAGUCCGGAAGAGGUGAGUGGAAUUCCCGGUGUAGCGGUGAAAUGCGCAGAUAUCGGGAGGAGCACCAAUGGCGAAGGCAGCUCGCUGGGACGGUACUGACGCUGAGACGCGAAAGCGUGGGGAGCAAACAGG